UUUUAUAGUGAAAUAAUUUUAUUUUAGAGAGUGCUUAAAUGAAAUCACAAAAGCCCAAUCUUUAUUCCAGUAUGUUAAUAUCUUCAUUUAAUAUUUGUCCUGCUUUU